GUGCCGGUGGUGUAAGGCGAACAUCGCUGCCCGGAAAGCAGAAGAUGCGGGUUCGAGUCCCGCCUGACGCA
rnacentral:tRNA from 1 species